rnacentral:rRNA from 1 species
CGAGCCGCUGGCGGCGUGCCUAAUACAUGCAAGUCGAACGCUUCUUUCCUCCCGAGUGCUUGCACUCAAUUGGAAAGAGGAGUGGCGGACGGGUGAGUAACACGUGGGUAACCUACCCAUCAGAGGGGGAUAACACUUGGAAACAGGUGCUAAUACCGCAUAACAGUUUAUGCCGCAUGGCAUAAGAGUGAAAGGCGCUUUCGGGUGUCGCUGAUGGAUGGACCCGCGGUGCAUUAGCUAGUUGGUGAGGUAACGGCUCACCAAGGCCACGAUGCAUAGCCGACCUGAGAGGGUGAUCGGCCACACUGGGACUGAGACACGGCCCAGACUCCUACGGGAGGCAGCAGUAGGGAAUCUUCGGCAAUGGACGAAAGUCUGACCGAGCAACGCCGCGUGAGUGAAGAAGGUUUUCGGAUCGUAAAACUCUGUUGUUAGAGAAGAACAAGGACGUUAGUAACUGAACGUCCCCUGACGGUAUCUAACCAGAAAGCCCACGGCUAACUACGUGCCAGCAGCCGCGUUAAAUAA